GGGAAUUCUGCUAGGCGUGGCUUCGCCACUGACUAGAUAUAAUUUUACAUCUCACGAGAAGUUAAAAUAAAAAAACAUCUGCACUAACAACACCCUAGAGAAUCAGAUAUUCUUUUUUCAUUAAACAAUAUUUCACUGCACAUAAAAACUAUCUAAAGAGACAUGUAGAUCAAAAGGUCCUGCAAAACUGCAGUCAUUGCCAAAUGCACUCAUUGUGCAACAAUGACAGUACCGAAAACGAAACAUCAAAAGGGAAGCUCAAGACUCGU
rnacentral:misc_RNA from 1 species